CUGCUGCCUUCCGUAGGAGUUUGGGCCGUGUCUCAGUCCCAAUGUGGCCGUUCACCCUCUCAGGCCGGCUACUGAUCGUCGCCUUGGUAGGCCGUUACCCCACCAACCAGCUAAUCAGACGCGGGCUCAUCUUAUACUACCGGAGUUUUUCACACAGAAACAUGCGUCCCCGUGCGCUUAUGCGGUAUUAGCAGUCAUUUCUAACUGUUAUCCCCCUGUAUAAGGCAGAUUACCCACGUGUUACUCACCCGUCCGCCG
rnacentral:rRNA from 1 species